UCCGCCUCCGCCGCCUGGCCCGCCCCGCCCCGCCCCGACUCGCAGCGGCACCGCCGCUGUGGCGACGAUGAUGGUGGGCCUGGUGGCGCCGCGUGGGGCGCGGCCCCAGCAGAAGGCCUAGUCGGACAGCGUCAGUUCAGCGGACGCUGGAGAAAGUAACAGGGCUCGGCGUAACCGCUGAACCGGCCCCAAGCCGCAGAACGGCCUGGAACCGCAACUCCGCGGGCACCCAGCCCUUGCUCCCUCGCGAGAGCCGGCAGAACCAUGCUGUGGAGGGCAGAAGUCGUUCUGCUCCACUGGUUCUCAGUAACCUGAAACACCCCCGAAUCCCCUUAGUUUUUAAAGAAAUCUGCCGUUACGCCGAGGGUUGCUCAAUUUCUCUCCAGUAGAUCGGAGUGACUGCAAGAUCAAACCGAGGAUCUGGCCGGGUUACACCCAGGACCUUUGACGACUCUGGACAAAAGGGGUAGGUGUGAGCUGGGUUUCCGGAGGAGACUUGUGUUUCCAGAGGGGGGAUUCGUGUUUACAGUGAACUCGGAGGAGGAUUCCCCGUCUGGAGCCACACGGCCGAACACAGGAGAGCCAGACCCUCUGCGAUCACCUACCCUGCAUCUGCCCCACUGCAGCCUCCUGCCUCUGUGGACACAGCGAAUCACCUGGACACAAAUGGUGAGCGAGGAGCUGCCCUCUUCAGCCUGUUCCCACCCGAGACCGGCAUGGCCGCUGCCACCUCCUCCUGCCUCCGCUCCCACCUGCUUCUCUGCAGCUGCCGGUCUUUGCCCGUCUGGAGCACACCAAGAGAGAGUGUGCCCACAGCUAAAGAAAGGACUAGAACCGAGUCAUCUGUUCUGUUUUGUUGGUAAUUUUAACAACUGCUGUUGUUUCUGCUUGUACAUUUAGAUAUAUUAGUAAAAGAGCUGUUAUUCCUACCCCCUUA